rnacentral:rRNA from 1 species
AUUGAACGCUGGCGGCAGGCCUAACACAUGCAAGUCGAGCGGAUGAAGGGAGCUUGCUCCUGGAUUCAGCGGCGGACGGGUGAGUAAUGCCUAGGAAUCUGCCUGGUAGUGGGGGAUAACGUCCGGAAACGGGCGCUAAUACCGCAUACGUCCUGAGGGAGAAAGUGGGGGAUCUUCGGACCUCACGCUAUCAGAUGAGCCUAGGUCGGAUUAGCUAGUUGGUGGGGUAAAGGCCUACCAAGGCGACGAUCCGUAACUGGUCUGAGAGGAUGAUCAGUCACACUGGAACUGAGACACGGCCCAGACUCCUACGGGAGGCAGCAGUGGGGAAUAUUGGACAAUGGGCGAAAGCCUGAUCCAGCCAUGCCGCGUGUGUGAAGAAGGUCUUCGGAUUGUAAAGCACUUUAAGUUGGGGGGAAGGGCAGUAAGUUAAUACCUUGCUGUUUUGACGUUACCAACAGAAUAAGCACCGGCUAACUUCGUG